AGUGAACGCUGGCGGUAGGCCUAACACAUGCAAGUCGAACGGCAGCACAGUAAGAGCUUGCUCUUACGGGUGGCGAGUGGCGGACGGGUGAGGAAUACAUCGGAAUCUACUUUUUCGUGGGGGAUAACGUAGGGAAACUUACGCUAAUACCGCAUACGACCUACGGGUGAAAGCAGGGGAUCUUCGGACCUUGCGCGACUGAAUGAGCCGAUGUCGGAUUAGCUAGUUGGGAGGGUAAAGGCCCACCAAGGCGACGAUCCGUAGCUGGUCUGAGAGGAUGAUCAGCCACACUGGAACUGAGACACGGUCCAGACUCCUACGGGAGGCAGCAGUGGGGAAUAUUGGACAAUGGGCGCAAGCCUGAUCCAGCCAUACCGCGUGGGUGAAGAAGGCCUUCGGGUUGUAAAGCCCUUUUGUUGGGAAAGAAAAGCAGCAGGUUAAUACCCCGCUGUUCUGACGGUACCCAAAGAAUAAGCACCGGCUAACUUCGUG
rnacentral:rRNA from 1 species